CGACAGCAGGGGAGAGCCACAGCAGGAGUGACCGCGGGGUGCUGGUGCCAAGGUGAACCGUGUGUUUGACCAGGAAGCAGCAUCGUGUCUUCAAGGUUCAUCGACGUCGUACCCUGUCAAAGCUUCACUCCUUUUUAUGGCUGACUAAUAUUCCACUGCGUGGGUAGAACAUGUUUGUUUGUCCAUCAUCUGUUGAUGAACAUUUGGGUUGCUGUCUACCUUGGAAACACUAUUAUGAAUAGUGCUGCUGUAAAC
rnacentral:lncRNA from 10 species